UACCAGCUCUCCGAGUGGUGGGGAUGCUUAUUGGGCCUAAAACAUUCGUAGCCGGCUGGGCAAGUCCUCCGUUAAAUCCAGCGAUUCAAUCGUUGGACUGCAGGGGAUACUGUCCGGCUAGGGGGCGGAAGAGGCCGACGGUAUUCUCGGGGUAGGGGUGAAAUCCUAUAAUCCCGGGAGGACCACCAGUGGCGAAGGCUGUCGGCUAGAACGCGCCCGACGGUGAGGGAUGAAAGCUGGGGGGAGCGAACCGGAUUAGAUACCCGGGUAGUCCCAGCUGUAAACUAUGCAGGCUAGGUGUUGGCGCGGCUACGUGCCGCUCCAGUGCCGCAAGGAAGCCGUUAAGCCUGCCGCCUGGGAAGUACGACCGCAAGGCUGAAACUUAAGGGAAUUGGCGGGGAGCACCACAAGGGGUGAAGCUUGCGGUUU
rnacentral:rRNA from 1 species